UGUCGCGGCGGCUGUGCGUGGGACGUCUUCGGACGUACCGGAAUGCCUGAUUUCCGGUCGGUCAACCCGCGUACAGCUGCCACUUUU
rnacentral:antisense_RNA from 2 species